GAUCCAAGCAUCUGUGUAUAAAGUCCAAAGCCUGACACCCUGUAGUCAGCCUGGGUGUAACAGUGAGCUGUAGGUUCAGCGAGGGACUCUGCUCAAAACAUGAGGUGGAGAGGGACAGAGGCAAAACUUGAUAGGACCUGUUCUCUGUGAGCAUGCACACAUGUGUGUGCUUCACGAGCACUCAUAUGCACACUAGAGAGUAAACACGCCUACUUUGAAGUGGGCUGUAGGAAGAAGAUGCCAGAAGGGCAAGCAGAGAGCCAGGUGUCAGGGAAUUUUCAGAAAUGCUCUGAAGUAGAGAGAGCCCACUGAGGGUGGCUUCUGCUGGGUGAAUGUGACUGAUUUCCCCUCCAGUCUCUGGGCAGGACACAGAAUCAGCAACUCCCUGGGGCGUUACUUCCUUCUGGCUCUGACUCCCGCCUUUGUUACCCUUCUUAUCAGCCAGGAAAAGGCUGUGGCUUCAGGCAUGAAUCCACAGACUGGAGCCUGGAGCUGGCACUGCAGCAUUCUAUCACAGUAUUAUGGACGUCCUUGAAUCUGACCGAACAAGAGAAAGGUUGCCCCAUCCUGGAAACAGUGGGGAGGUGAUGUUGGCUCCGGAGAAAAAUGAAGGGUGUCCCCAGAGGAAACCUCACAGCCCACUGGGGAGCACAAAAGUCUUGCAGGACGAAUAAAGAACUGCGGCUGAAACCUUCCAGCUACAGUCCCCGUGCUUCUCCUGAUGUUGAGGGCAACCGCAGUGGGGCCCAUGUAAUUCAAUGCUGACCACUCCUGACCUUGCUGGGUAACCACUAACAGACUUCAGCCAACCUCUACUCUGUCUCUUAAAAGCUGAUUCCCCUCCUACCUUGGCACUACCCAGAUGCUUUGAAAACAGACACCCUGCCUACUUCUGGCUCAGGCCAGCAUCUUUCCUGCAGCUCUGCCAAGAGACCCCUCUCCAGGGACUAGUCCAGGACUUCUGGGCUCAGUGAGUGUCAUCCCACCUCAGGGAAGCCAGCAUUUUGGAUUGUGUGCCGUUUUCUGACUGGGCUGAGCACUGAAGAGCUCUGUGUGCUGUUUUCUGACUGGGCUGAGCACUGAAGGGCUCUGUGUGCCGUUUUCUGACUGCGCUGAGCACUGAAGGGCUCUGUGUGCCGUUUUCUGACUGGGCUGAGCACUGAAGGGCUCUGUGUGCCGUUUUCUGACUGUGCUGGGCACCGCUGCUUCAGUCAUCAGAGGAAAGAACUGCUCAACGUGCUGAACGGUGGACAAACAAGUUUGCCGAGGAAGUGAUUCUGAGGCUACAAAACAACCUGAAUCCACAGGAGACAAACCACCAAGGACACAAAACAAGGAGUCCCUCCGUUCAGGAGACAGCUCCCCAGGGAGAGGACUGCCACAAGGUGUCCUCGCACACAGAGCUUUCACGUGUCAGAAAUGAUUACUGGUGACUCGGUAUGUACUAAGGAGAUGUGGAAUGUUCGGCAAGCACCUCUUCCUGGACACCUGCACAGCCCCAAGAGAUACAAAACGACGACAUCUUUAACAUACGGGGCACAAGUGUCUGGCACUAGAUCCUUUUCCCGAAGUCCCUAAUAAGGGCUGUGACUCAGUGUAGGCAUCUAUCGUUACAAAGCUGUCCCCACCCAGUUGGCAAAUAAUAACAGUUGGGGGGGGGUGUCAAAUAAAAGCAGGAAAGGA
rnacentral:sRNA from 1 species